GGGAGUGAUCAUACCAGCACUAAAGCACCGAGUUCC
rnacentral:rRNA from 1 species